AUGCACCUCCAUUCCCCUUCUCCCCACCACCUUCGGCUUCGGCAUGGAGCAGUAGCUCCUCUUGCCUCACCGACCGUCCUGACCAAGGCAGGGCGCCUUGUCCUCGCCUUCCCCGAGCGCGGAGGGAGAGAUGGCGACGGCUGGAUCUCGCUAAGUGGCCAGCGAGGAGGACGGCUUGGCCCCGCAGCGACGCCAACAAGGCACUUCCAUCGAGCGUACGUCACCUAUUCUUCCUCCUCUCACUCUGAUCCUACCGUGGCCACCACCAAUAGUAGUAAGAAGUCCAACUCUUCUGUGGUUGUCCUCCUCUCUGGUUUUGUUGACUCCGACGGCGCCAGCUCGACCUACAGGAUAUCUUUGACAUUUGUUGUUAUUGGGGUGUCAAUGCUGGCGAUCAAAAGAUUAUCAAUGUUCUUAUUGGGUUGUCAAUGCUGGAAGCUGCUCAUGGGACAUAUAACUUGA
rnacentral:rRNA from 1 species